rnacentral:rRNA from 1 species
UACAGAGGGCGCGAGCGUUGUCCGGAAUCACUGGGCGUAAAGGGCGCGUAGGUGGCGCGGGCAGUCAACGGUGAAAGUUCGGGGCUCAACCCUGAAUCGGCCGUCGAUACUCCCGUGCUUGAGCACUGUAGAGGCAGAUGGAAUUCCGGGUGUAGCGGUGGAAUGCGUAGAGAUCCGGAAGAACACCAAUAGCGAAGGCAGCUCGCUGGGACGUUACUGACACUGAGGCGCGAAAGCGUGGGGAGCGAACAGG